CCUACGGGAGGCAGCAGUGGGGAAUAUUGCACAAUGGGGAAACCCUUAUGCAGCAACGCCGCCUGAAGGAAGACCGGUUUUGGGUUUUAAACUUCUGUUCCUAGUGAAGGAUAAUGACGGUAGCUAAGGAGGAAGCCACGGCUAACUACGGACCAGCAGCCGCGGUAAUACGUAGGUGGCCAGCGUUUUCCGGAAUUACUGGGUGUAAAGGGAGCGCAGGCGGGAAGGCAAGUCAGCUGUGAAAACUACGGGCUUAACUUGUAGACUGCAGUUGAAACUGGUUUUCUUGAGUGAAGUAGAGGUUGGCGGAAUUCCGAGUGUAGCGGUGAAAUGCGUAGAUAUUCGGAGGAACACCGGUGGCGAAGGCGGCCAACUGGGCUUUAACUGACGCUGAGGCUCGAAAGUGUGGGGAGCAAACAGGAUUAGAUACCCGAGUAGUC
rnacentral:rRNA from 1 species